AAUUACUGUACUCAAACAUUUACUGUAAAAUCACAGUAGCUCUAUCACAUUACAGCACCUUGUUGUGAAAUUUGAAUUGCACUUGAACCGCACAGCAUUGUGGGGCGAUUUCUAACGUUCACCCCUCCCACCCGCACCUGCCACCCUCAACUGAAUUUUCAACUCAGCCGUCCACCAGUGACUUCAAUUAUCACUUUUCUGCAUGUGUAAGCUGUACAAACUCUGCCAUCAUAUCCAAGACAUUGCAUUGUGAGGACUGGUGCCCUGGGAACACUGAGCGCAUUCUCGAAAAUUCCAAAUUUGUGCCACUUCCAUACGAAGACAGCCCAGAAUAAUUGGGCUCCAUCAACCAUCCCGGGUAAAGUCGGUCUGUCCUGAUUGCACUACUUGCUAAUUGAUGACGUCUAGAAGCCAUAGCUGCUUCCCUCUGCCCUCACAAAUAAACUGAUACCAGGAAUUAACAUACAGUAGAUGGUGAUGGUGGUGGUGGCAAGGGUGCCUUCACAAGGUGCCAUGUCACAAUCUCAGUGUGGAGCCAAAGGCUGCUAUUGCAAGUCAGAUGGGGGACGAUCGAUGUAAGGCAUCAGAAAGGUGGUGUACAUACAAAGGCUGGAGCUGCUGGAGACAGUGUUGCACUUAGAUACUUGAUUUACUGCCGAUGGUACCAUCAGAGCACCACCCUACCCCUGCAGGACCAGAAGAGGACGGACAGGGGGCCAAAAUUUUUUAACACUCUGACCAUGGACUAUUUAAACCAUUGAGGUAACGCAGACGUCUGAUCCCACUUGGCUAAAACAGAAGACUGAGGAGGAGUUUCUUUCCUCAUGCCAUUCGCAUCCUGAGCACACAUACUGCAUUACAUGGACUUGCCAUACUGCACUUACACACUGCACUAUUUACCCCCUGACUCAUUCCGUGUCAAAUCAGACAAGGUUAUGCUGCACCGUCUCAGGCCUGUACAAUAUUUUUUUGUUCAAUCCUAUGUCUUCAUAUGAUAAUGUUUGUAUGGCCUGCUCAAUGAUUUUCAUUGAAAAGUGUUCAUUAAAAGUUCAAAUGGUAUUUUCUUUGUUGUUGCUUUUAUUGACCAGAUCCAAAACAUGUUGGUAUAGGUCAGGUAAAUCACAAAUCAAAUGUUCAAAUGUACAAUAUCUUUCACUGUAAAUUCACAGCAAAUUGCUGGCUACUGAGUUGCAUUACUUUUACAGUAAAAAUGAA